rnacentral:rRNA from 1 species
UACGUAGGGGGCUAGCGUUGUCCGGAUUUAUUGGGCGUAAAGAGCUCGUAGGUGGUUCGGUAAGUCGGAUGUGAAAUCUCCAGGCUCAACCUGGAGGGGUCAUUCGAUACUGCCGUGACUAGAGUUCGGUAGAGGAGUGUGGAAUUCCAGGUGUAGCGGUGAAAUGCGUAGAUAUCUGGAGGGACACCGGUGGCGAAGGCGGCAUCCUGGACCGACACUGACGCUGAGGAGCGAAAGCCAGGGGAGCAAACGGG